rnacentral:rRNA from 1 species
CUUCCAGACUCCUACGGGAGGCAGCAGUGGGGAAUAUUGCACAAUGGGGGAAACCCUGAUGCAGCGACGCCGCGUGAGUGAAGAAGUCUUUCGGUAUGUAAAGCUCUAUCAGCAGGGAAGAAAAUGACGGUACCUGACUAAGAAGCCCCGGCUAACUACGUGCCAGCAGCCGCGGUAAUACGUAGGGGGCAAGCGUUAUCCGGAUUUACUGGGUGUAAAGGGAGCGUAGACGGCAGGGCAAGUCUGAAGUGAAAGCCCGGGGCCCAACCCCGGGACUGCUUUGGAAACUGUCCGGCUGGAGUGCAGGAGGGGUGGGCGGAAUUCCUAGUGUAGCGGUGAAAUGCGUAGAUAUUAGGAGGAACACCGGCGGCGAAGGCGGCCCACUGGACUGUAACUGACGUUGAGGCUCGAAAGCGUGGGGAGCAAACAGGAUUAGAUACCCCGGUAC